CUUUUACGUAGUGUACCACAUGGUUGCGACCUUGCUUGCUAUCUUCUCUUCCUUUUCAUCAGAGAUGGCCGCCAAUAACGAACGUUCCUUUAUCAUGGUGAAGCCUGAUGGAGUCCAGAGGGGACUCGUCGGCGAAAUCAUGAAGAGGUUUGAACAAAGAGGAUACAAACUCGUUGCCUGUAAACAAAUGCAGGCAUCUAAGGCUCACUUAGAGAAGCACUACGCAGACCUCUCCAGCAAGGGUUUCUUUGCUGGCCUGGUCACUUACAUGGCCAGUGGACCAGUUGUUGCAAUGGUCUGGGAAGGAAAAGAUGUGGUUAAAACUGGCAGAAAAAUGCUGGGAGCCACCAACCCCUUGGAUUCCAAUCCUGGAACCAUCAGGGGAGAUUACUGUAUUGAUGUUGGCAGGAAUAUAUGUCAUGGUAGUGAUUCCGUAGAAAGUGCCAAAGCGGGAAAUAGAUCUGUGGUUCAAACCCGAGGAGGUCAUGAGCUACAAUGCCUGUGAGGCCCCAUGGAUGUAUGAAGUGACUCCCCCUGUCUGUGUUAUAGAGAGGUCAAUAGGUCAUGUAGAUCAUGACGUCAUGUCAUCAGUGUUGUGGACAGUCAAAUAAAUCUCAGUUAUAUAU
rnacentral:misc_RNA from 1 species